UACGUAGGGUGCGAGCGUUGUCCGGAAUUAUUGGGCGUAAAGAGCUUGUAGGCGGUUUGUCGCGUCUGCCGUGAAAAUCCGAGGCUCAACCUCGGACUUGCGGUGGGUACGGGCAGACUAGAGUGUGGUAGGGGAGACUGGAAUUCCUGGUGUAGCGGUGAAAUGCGCAGAUAUCAGGAGGAACACCGAUGGCGAAGGCAGGUCUCUGGGCAUUAACUGACGCUGAGGAGCGAAAGCAUGGGGGAGCGAAACAGG
rnacentral:rRNA from 1 species